GAUGAACGCUGGCGGCGUGCCUAAUACAUGCAAGUCGAGCGGACAGACGAGGGCUUUGCUCCGCUGACGUUAGCGGCGGGGGGGUGAGUAACACGGGGAUAACCUCCCUAUAGGAGGGGAAUACGGUCAGAAAACCGGUAAUAAUGCAGGCGAAUAUAGUGAACCAGAGGGGUACAUAGGGAAAGCGGGUUUUGGGGUUGGUUGUAGGUGGAUCCGCGCCGCAUUAGCUAGUUGGUAAGGUAAGGGCAUACCAAGGCAACGAUGCGUAGCCGAUCUGAGAGGGUGAUCGGCCACACUGGAACUGAGACACGGCCCAGACUCCUACGGGAGGCAGCAGUAGGGAAUUUUCCGCAAUGGGCGAAAGCCUGACGCAGCAACGCCGCGUGUGUGAUGAAGGUCUUCGGAUCGUAAAACUCUGUUAUCAGGGAAGAACAAAUGUGUAAGUAUCCAUGCACGUCUUGACGGUACCGAAUCAGAAAGCCCCGGCUAACUACGUG
rnacentral:rRNA from 1 species